ACUAAGCGCACCUGUUAGACGCCGUCGCGGAGAAAGUUCACGUUUAAAACGUCAUCGCCAGACCGAAUGAUUUAAGGGGGACGUUCCAAAACCACCCAAGCGACGUACUUUGAGCUGCAGAGCGUACAAACCCAGGACUUUUUGAUGAUAGCGAUCUGACGACCAAAACACUGGAACAAUAGCGGUAACAACAUUGCGUGCAGCCGGAAGUGCUGCGCUGCAGCACGCAUGGACCGGCUUGGAGAACCCUAAAUCAGACCAAUUUUUGUAGUCUGAAAGCUUAAUUGAAGGAUAAACGAGAAGACAAGGCAAACCAUCAACAUGAUGAAAAAGGGAAAGAAGAAGGCACCUUCAAAGGGCAAGAAGAAAGCCGGGCCACUUGUGACAGAGGAGGAAUUUUUAUUCGCACAGCAAGAGUUGAACACUCUACAAACCUCAAACAUCGAAUCGGAAUUUGGUUAUCAGGAUGACGAAGCCCCAGACCUCGCAUUCCAGGCUGCUCCUCGGAUCUCCAGAGUGUCCAGUAUGGCCCCACAGAGAAAAAGUAUGGCCCCACAGAAACAAAGUAAUGCGGCUCCACCUCUCAGAAAAAU